rnacentral:rRNA from 1 species
GACGAACGCUGGCGGCGUGCCUAAUACAUGCAAGUCGAACGCUGAAGAGAGGAGCUUGCUCUUCUUGGAUGAGUUGCGAACGGGUGAGUAACGCGUAGGUAACCUGCCUGGUAGCGGGGGAUAACUAUUGGAAACGAUAGCUAAUACCGCAUAAAAUUGAUUAUUGCAUGAUAAUUAAUUGAAAGAUGCAACUGCAUCACUACCAGAUGGACCUGCGUUGUAUUAGCUAGUUGGUGAGGUAACGGCUCACCAAGGCGACGAUACAUAGCCGACCUGAGAGGGUGAUCGGCCACACUGGGACUGAGACACGGCCCAGACUCCUACGGGAGGCAGCAGUAGGGAAUCUUCGGCAAUGGGGGGAACCCUGACCGAGCAACGCCGCGUGAGUGAAGAAGGUUUUCGGAUCGUAAAGCUCUGUUGUAAGAGAAGAACGGGUGUGAGAGUGGAAAGUUCACACUGUGACGGUAUCUUACCAGAAAGAGACGGCUAACUACGUG